rnacentral:lncRNA from 1 species
AAACUGCAAAAAUUAUUAAGUUCCCUCUGUAUGCAGAAUAUUGUGCAACAUGGUUAUGGGUACUACAGUGGAUGUGAGUGUGUAGACCUUGUACAAUAGAGCUUAUAGGCUAAUGAGAAGACAGGAAGAAACAACAGGAACACAUAUAGCUGGAAUGCAGAUGGGAUCUGUGCUACUUACGCUAGCCAUGGGAUGAUUAGAACAAGAUAAGAGACAUGAGGAAGACUUCUUCAAGGAGGUGCUCAAGCCAUGUUUUGGAAAAGAGAACUCAAGGUCUGGCAGGGAGAAAGGAGCAAGGGCAAGUAGAGCUGCAGCUGUCUGGCGCCACUGUAAUGCUGUCUCCUCCUCUGAGUGAGUUCAUCCUGGAAACAUUUUCUCCCAUAAGACAUGCACAGGUCUUACGUUUACAUGUUUCACUGAAAGAAAUUUGAUUCCACUGCUGGGAUGACAAGGAAGACUGAAGAAACCUAAUCCUAGGUGCUGCCACUGGGACAAACAAGAAGCACCAGACACAGUGCUGUUUUAGGGUGGGGCAGAAUUAUGCUGAGGGAAAAGUUAUUAUCACUCUUUAAGGCCAAGGAAACCACAAUUUUUAAAGAAGCUUCUAGAAAUUCUACCCAGUAGAAAAUAAAGAUAAACUUCUGUAAGGAAUUUCAUUCUUUUCAGAAUUCGCAAUCUGAAAUGUAGAAGCCCAUUCCUUCAUGGUUCUCAUAGAUAUUUAGUGUGACUGAGGGGUCAGUGGACUCAUAGCACUCAGGCCAGGCUUCUCCUGAGUCCCUUUCUUUGGCACAGAGGGAGUGAUUCACAGAUCCUCUACCCCCAAAGGCAUUGUUUCCUCAUCUCAACAAGAAUCCAGCACCCGUCAUUUUAUCAGCACACGUCACUAGCUUCUCAAGUGAGACUACUCUGAAGUGAUCUGUGUUUGAAGAAUGCCUUUCCCUUUCCCUUACGUAACUAAGAGGAUGAAAAAGGACACUCACUCCCUAUAUGAAAGCUGUGUAUUGUAAGCAGUCAUCUUGCCUGGCUGAGAACUCUAGGAUCUUUUUCUCUGCUCUCCUUUAGGCUGACACUCAUAGCCAGACCUUCUGUUUAUUAGCCCCCUGAAUCUAUUUGAAAAUAUUUUUGCUUUCAUUAUAAUAUAAGUCACAUUCUUCUUGCAUCUGCCGCUGCAUUUUCCAAAAGGGUUAUGUCAAGGGAAAUUCAACACUCACUUUUCUCAUUAUUUGCUUACCAGCUUGCUCACUCAUCAAAAUACCAGAGUUAUUUGAUACUUCAGAAGAUUAUUUCCCCCUUUAGAUGAUGUGUCAAGGGAAGGGGAGCUGGCCCCAGUAUCAGGUGACAGAAUUUUCUUCGCAUUUCUACUGUUGACUCAAUAAAUGCCCUUGGGCAAGUCAUGGAGCCUCUUCAUACUUUGGUCUCUAGGGAUAAAAUCUGCCAACCGCAGCAUGUGUAUUUGAACCUCAGUGUCCUCUGGAAUAAAAAUAGGAGGGGACCAGGUGUCCAUGUGACCCCAAGCUGAUGGGAAGAGGAUGACCAUAGGACUUCAAAAUGUCCUUGAGCUGUAAAUUCUGUAAUAGGGUCAGGCCCACCAGUGGCCUUCAGGCAUUUGUCCAGUGGUGUAUGGAUAAGUUCUAGCACUUGAGUUUUUUCAGCACAAAGGAGGCACUAUGUCAACCUCCCACCCAUGGGUAUUCUGUUUGCUCUGUGUCCCCGCUUCUCUGCAUUUCCCUGCCAUAUUACUCACCACUGGUCGUAAUUACUUGCUUGAUCACUUGUCUCCUGGUCUGUAAGCUGUUUGAGGGAGGGGAGCACAUCUGCCCUAUGCAACACUGUACCCUCAGUGUGGUACACAGGAGCACAUGCCUGACAUAUGGAAGUUAUGUGAGAAACAUUUGUGAAGUGGACAAAUUAAUAAUGCUGCCUGGACUCUAUAGAAAUCCCUUUUCUGCAUCAUUAAGGUUCCCAAGCCUGGCCAAGAAGUAGUGGGAUCUGAUUAGCCUCAUCUCCUCAUAACCCUACUUCCUAUAAUAUUAUAAUGAAAGCAGAUCUCAGCCCAAAUGCUGGCACACAUACAUAUUUAUCAGUAAGAAGAUCCAAAAUCGUUCAUGCAGCUGGUUCUGUAAGCUUGGCAAAUUUCCAGCCCUCUGAACUUUUCAGUGCUUUGUCCACACUCUACAUGAAAGGGCCUCUUAAGAGUGACAGGGCAGUAUUCUAAAGACCAGAUUUUAAUUGCACCAGGUAACUGAAUUGUCUGAAUUCACAGCUGAACACAGGACAAGGUCAGAAUCAUAUUUCUUAUGCCAUUUAGAAAGGUGACAAGUGAAGGGCUGGCCAAAAUCUUACACCCAGCUUACGUAAGAGUAGAGACUGUCCCUAAUGCUUUCCCCAGUCCACUUGUCUCGAACACCAUUAGGUUCAAUAGUAAAAGCCCAUUUCUCACUUGCUUCAUGUUAAUUGACUGAUCACUAAUUUUACCAAUAAGAAGCCAUUUUUAUUAUUUAUCAUUAUGAUUUUUAUCAUUUUGUUAAUUAGCCAAGCUUCUGCUGUUGACUCCAGAUAAAGAGAGUUAAAGCACUUGGGGUGACCACCUAAGUAGAUUUUUUCAUGGUGAACAAAUGGAAGCAACAGAAACAGCUCAGACUUUUGAAAAGUGAUGAAAAAGGCCCAUGAUGCCCUGCUCCUUGAAAAUGAAGAAGAGGAUGACUUAGCCCUGCAGGGCUCUUUUCUUUGCAUGUUCUUACCAACCCUCAGGGGAGAUUCAGUCUACUAGCUGGCUUCCCCACGUGGACCUCACUCUGUGGCAAGUAACUGGGAGUAAUUUACCUUCUGGGUUCUCUUACAACCCCCUUAGCUAUGUAGGUGAUUUCAGGCCCAAGGGGGAAGAUAUCAGAUAAGCCAGAACAUUUUGAUUCUACUGACCGAGUUUCCUCACCUCCCUCCCUUUGUUUCUGAUAAAUACAUACGUUAAGGUCAGCUGAA